rnacentral:lncRNA from 1 species
CAUGCCACCCAAAAUUAUUGUCUCUGUUUUCAAAGCUUGAGCUGUGGCACCUGUGCAAAUCAAUGCUUCCCUCUGCGAAGGGCAUGUCUAUUUAUUUUCCUGUUGAGUCAUCCUCUUCUUAUAUAAGCACCAAUUAGAGAGCACCUCUGUCAUUUUUAUGCUUUGCUUUUGAUUGAUAUUGAGUAUGACUAUGACUGGAUCUUCGUUGCUAUGAAUUAAAAUGUUUAGUGAGCCCUUGAUCUUUGAAAGUGC